UAAAGCCCAUGUGAUUUAGGAUUGAAAUAGGAAGACAUUUAGAAGUUGUGUAUGUGGAAGGAAAGGCAUGUGUGCCUAUUGCUUUACUCGACAGAUGUCGGAGCCUUGUCUUGUGGAAAAGUGAAUCUUGGGCAACAGGGUUUUCAGAAGGUUUAAGGUAAGCAAAAUGAUCUCGCUUGAAUGGUUUCAGGAUCCACAAAGAUUUAGAGGAGCACCAAAGAAAGUGAAAAAGAAAGUGUGUACCAUCUUAUGUAGGAAGACAUUUGGAAGUUGUGUUUGCGGAAGGAAAGAAAGGCCUGUGUGUCUUGCUUUACUCGACAGAUGUCGCAGCCUUGUCUUGUGGAAAAGUGAUUCUUGGGCAACAGGGAUUUCAGCAGGUGUAAGGUAAGCAAAAUGAUCUUGCUUGAAUAGUUUCAGGAUCCACACAGAUUGAGAGGAGCAGCAAAGAAAGUGAAGAAAAAAGUUUGUACCAUCUUAUGUAGGAAGACAUUUGGAAGUUGUGUUUGCGGAAGGAAAGAAAGGCCUGUGUGUCUAUUGCUUUACUCGACAGAUGUCGCAGCCUUGUCUUGUGGAAAAGUGAAUCUUGGGCAACAGGGUUUUCAGAAGGUGUAAGUUAAGCAAAAUGACCUCGCUUGAAUGGUUUCAGGAUCCACAAAGAUUGAGAGGAGCGACAAGGAAAGUGAAGAAGAAAGUGUGUACCAUCUUAUGUAGGAAGACAUUUGGAAGUUGUGUUUGCGGAAGGAAAGAAAGGCCUGUGUGUCUAUUGCUUUACUCGACAGAUGUCGCAGCCUUGUCUUGUGGAAAAGUGAAUCUUGGGCAACAGGGUUUUCAGAAGGUGUAAGUUAAGCAAAAUGACCUCGCUUGAAUGGUUUCAGGAUCCACAAAGAUUGAGAGGAGCGACAAGGAAAGUGAAGAAGAAAGUGUGUACCAUCUUAUGUAGGAAGACAUUUGGAAGUUGUGUUUGCGGAAGGAAAGAAAGGCCUGUGUGUCUAUUGCUUUGCUCGACAGAUGUCGCAGCCUUGUCUUGUGGAAAAGUGAAUCUUGGGCAACAGGGUUUUCAGCAGGUGUAAGGUAAGCAAAAUGAUCUUGCUUGAAUAGUUUCAGGAUCCACACAGAUUGAGAGGAGCAGCAAAGAAAGUGAAGAAAAAUGUUUGUACCAUCUUAUGUCGGAAGACAUUUGGAAGUUGUGUUCGCGGAAGGAAAGGCCUGUGUGUCUAUUGCUUUACUCGACAGAUGUAGCAGCCUUGUCUUGUGGAAAAGUGAAUCUUGGGCAAUAGGGUUUUCAGCAGGUGUAAGGUAAGCAGAAUGAGCUCUCUUGAAUAGUUUCAGGAUCCACAAAGAUCGAGAGGAGCAGCAAAGAAA